UACAGAGGUCCCAAGCGUUGUUCGGAUUCACUGGGCGUAAAGGGUGCGUAGGCGGUAAGGUAAGUCUGACGUGAAAUCUCCGGGCCUAACCCGGAAACUGCGUUGGAAACUAUCUGACUAGAGGAAUGGAGGGGAGACUGGAAUACUUGGUGUAGCAGUGAAAUGCGUAGAUAUCAAGUGGAACACCAGAGGCGAAGGCGGUUACCUGGACAGUUACUGACGCUCAGGCACGAAAGCGUGGGGAGCAAAAGGG
rnacentral:rRNA from 1 species